AACCUGGUUGAUCCUGCCAGUAGUCAUAUGCUUGUCUUAAGGAUUAAGCCAUGCAUGUCUCAGUACAAACGAUUUUGUACGGUGAAACUGCGGAUGGCUCAUUACAACAGUUAUAGUUUAUUUGAUCGUGCGGUACUACGUGGAUAACCGUAGGAAUUCUAGAGCUAAUACAUGCCCCAUAGCUUUUUAUUUUCCUCCUAUACCUUAGGGGUGAAUUGAUAAAAGCGGGAUUUAUUAGAUCAAAAACCAAUCGCUUUUAGCGUGACGGGAUGAAUCAUAAUAACUUUCCGAAUCGCAAGGCCGAAAUCAUAGGCCGGCGAUAUAUCAUUCAAAUUUCUGCCCUAUCAACUUUCGAUGGUAGGGUAGUGGCCUACCAUGGUGUUGACGGGUGACGGAGGAUUAGGGUUCGAAUUCCGGAGAGGGAGCCUGAAAAACGGCUACCCAUCCA
rnacentral:rRNA from 1 species